CUCCUUCUCAACAAGAAUGGGGAUAACAUGUGCCCUGUUAACAGCUUAGAAACCGUCUCUGUAUUACAGACUCUUAUCAUCUCUGGUUCCCUGUGACCCACUGACCAGUGUGGGGCUUGCCCACGUGCCCCACCCGUGGUUAAGAGGCAGGAAUGAAAGAUGGGAGACACACCAAGGGGAAGAGACAUGAGCCGAACAGCCAGAGUUGAACAUCCUGAGUUUUUUGCUUGGUUCUGAACUCCAAUCCCUCACGCACAUUGAGAAUGGGAGGAGAGGAGAGCGGCUCCCUGGAGAAUGGUGCUGUGCCCAUGGCUGCAACAAACGCGUGUUGACAACCUAGAUGAAGGAAACUGGACCCGCGCCCUGGG